UACAGAGGGGGCAAGCGUUGUUCGGAAUUAUUGGGCGUAAAGGGUGCGUAGGCGGUUUGGUAAGUCUGAUGUGAAAUCUAUGGGCUCAACUCAUAGUCUGCAUCGGAAACUGCCGGGCUUGAGUGUGGGAGAGGUGAGUGGAAUUCCUGGUGUAGCGGUGAAAUGCGUAGAUAUCAGGAGGAACACCUGUGGCGAAAGCGGCUCACUGGACCACAACUGACGCUGAUGCACGAAAGCUAGGGGAGCAAACAGG
rnacentral:rRNA from 1 species